UUAUGACAUGGUUUGGUCGUGUCCACAACAAAAUCUCAUAUUGAACUGUAAUUCCCACAAUGCCCGCGUGUUAUGGGAGGUAAUUGAAUCAUGGGGCCAGUUACCUCCAUCCUGCUCUCGUCAUAGUGAGUUGACAGUGAGUGCGUUCUCGCGAGAUCCGAUGGUUUUAUAAGGGGCUCGUUCCCACGUUCGCCCUGCACUUCUACUUGCUGCCGCCAUGUGAGGCAAAUGGAGGACAAUAGCUGCUUCCCCUUCCGCCACGAUUCUGAAUUCCCGAGGCCUCCCCAGCCAUGUUGAACUUGUUGAACUGACAUAAAGAGUUAAGAACCGUUAAGAAAUAUGUAAUACAAAUGAGGAAAUGCAAAUGUGAUGUUAAGAAACAACCCAAAGAUGUCCUCUCCAUGGGCCCUUGGAUCUUUUUGAUCUCCCAUCCCAUCAUAUGGCUUCCACCAUCAGAGAUACCUUGAGGUCCAAGAUGAAUGCCGAGCUCCAUCAUCUCCUCUCAGUUAAAAGCAGCAAAAAGAAGACAGAGGAAUAAAAAGAGUCCUUGUCUCCGAGCUGAGGCAGCUCCCUUAAAGUGGUCUUUACGGAAGCUCAGCACACCACCUCCACUAACAUCUCACCACCAAUGGCUUAAUCACAUGGGGCUCUAAGCUACAAGGGAAGGUGAAUCAUUAAUCAACUUUUAGCUGAUCAUUAAUCCUAAUGAAAUUCUGUUAUUGAAGAGGAAAGAGGCAGACAAUGGCCAAAGUGGCAACUGGACCAGAUGUUUCCAUCCAGUUCUAAGCAGCCCCAGGCAGGAACAUCUGCUGCCUAAACUGCCUCAUCUGCUUCAGCACAAGAAAACAGCCAGGGACAAAAUGACUGAGCUUGCGGCAGCUACUGUUGGCAAUGUGCCUGCCCUUGGAAUGUCCGGAGCCCAUCACCCUCCUCUCUGCCCAGGAGGUGAUUUACAGCCCCCUGAAAUGUCUGAAGACUUUCAUCCCAUCUCCGCUCCUCACCCCCACUCCCAAAGUGGUUUUGUGGGUAUAAAAGUGUCUUGUCACUCUUCUUUCAGGGCCACGGGUUGGAGAGACCUGAGUCCUCCGUGGUCGCCGGCAAUAAACCCUGCAAUUUGGCAUACUUUUGUCUUGGUGUUGACUUUCUGUGCUCAGUCCGAUACAACACUGAGUUCUCUCAACAUGGAUUAAGAAAUGGAAUAUACAUGUGAAGUGUUUGGUUUUAAAAAAAUCUCAUUGUCAUUGAUUUUAUUAUUCUGGUUCCCCUCUCUAUUUGUUUGCAGAUAGACCAAUACAUAGAUGCUGUGAAAUGCAUGUAUGAAUGCAGCCAUUUUUCACUGGUAUCAUAGGAUACACAGCAUUCUGCAUCUGCAUUUCACACUCAACAGUGAUUGAGCUGCUGUCUGAUGUUCGAUCUUAGGGUCUGUGUUCAUGACUUCUAUGCUAGAAAAAUGGUCUGUGUUUUAGCUGGAGUAGCUGAAAGAAAUGUUAUCACAGUGUUAGCUAGAUGGGAGCUGACCCAGCCACUGAGACCAACACCAGGCACCGACGACCACUUUCCUGAAGAAUGGGAUGCAUGGUGGAGCUCAGUAGAAAUGUCUUGACUCUCUAAAGGGAGAAGAUUCUUCAGGACAUGCAGCCCGACAGGGGAAGUAUUAUACAAUGCAAAAAGCCACAAAUGCAAAUUGGAAGUCCACACACUGAUUUUGGUCAGUACGUAACUGCAAUGAUCCAAAAGGUUACUCUCUCCCUCUUACCAAAGCAAUGAGUCAGUUGUCUUCAGCAAGUUCUCGUCAAAGCCAUGAAUGAAUGCUUACUGAAAUCACCGUUUGCAAAUGAACCAGGAACCACAACAUACACCGGCCUUGAAAUUCCUUGGAGCAGGAUUUCUCCACUUUGGUGCUAUUGACAUUUGGGGUCAGAUAAGUCUCUGGGAUGGAGGUUGUCUCACGCAUUUUAGGAUAUUUGCAUGGCCUGGCCUCUACUCACUAGAUGCCAAUAGUAAUACCCCUACCCUCAGCUGAGGGUCAGAGGAUAACUAAGAUGUCUCCAGACACUGCAAAAUGUGCCCUGAAGGUGGAGACAGAAUCACCCCUUUGAGGAUUAUUGAUUAAGGUUAUAGAAGUUUAUCAAAGUGAACAUUCACAAAGGGCUUUCUACACUCAGUUAGGUAGAAAAUGCCAGGUGUUCACUUAGCAGCUUCUCUGGCAGCUGGGGCAACAGAUGGGAUGAAAAGAGGCUGAGAGGAAAGGGUGAGCAUGGACCCAGUGUGGCCAAUGGGACAUCAGGGCAAGGCCCCUGGGAGUUACCAGGCAGUCCACUCCUGCAUGAGACACACCCUCUAGAGAUCGCCACUGCACCCUUCUUCUGUUUCUGAGCAUGCCUGUGUGAGAACACAGGGCCUGAAUUGGUGACCUCCACCUUGCAGCCCAAGGCAGCAAGAACAGAAGAAACGUCCUGAGGACGGUAGGUAGAAAGACAGAAAGAGCCACCUCCUCCCCUUGUCCUUCUAACUCAGGAGUGGAAACAGCCUCCUCUUGCUGCUGAAACUCAGGGAGCCACACCACUGAGAGCAAUCGUAGCGCCUGUGUGCGGCCCAUUGACUACAUUGCUCUCCUGUAAACACAAAAGGUAUUUGGAGGCUAUGAUAUUAGACACUGACAUAUGAUAACCAUCCAGUAUCUUAUUUGUUUUGUAUUUAAUUCUGCGGGUAGCUAAUCUGGAAGUAUUUUUCAAAAUAGUUUGAAGAAUGCUAGCAGUGGGUGUUCAGAACAGUGUUACUUCAGGGAAUUAAUGUGUACAUUGUACUGUUCCAAAUAAAAAGCGUUGUGUAAACACAGAAAGGUCAUUCAACUACUGAGCUUUCUGAUUCUUGAUUCACAAGAAAUAAGUACAUAUAAAAUACCUGUAACCACGUAUGCAUGUGGAUUAUCUUCCUCUUUCUGAAAGAAGCAGGGAAAUCAGCUAACAUUUACUGACCAAGGACAACCUUCAGUAGUUAUGGGAUUUAGAGACAGCUAAAACAGUUGAUGCAAAAGAUAACGCAAAACAAGCAAAAACAUCAAAACCAAACAAUCUUUAUCAUCCUGUAACCAGUUUCUUUAAAUCCUUUCGGAGCUCAUUUUUAAGCUGAACCAAGAAAUACAU